rnacentral:rRNA from 1 species
ACGAACGCUGGCGGCAUGCCUAACACAUGCACGUCGAACGAGACCUUCGGGUCUAGUGGCGCACGGGUGCGUAACGCGUGGGAACCUGCCCUUAGGUUCGGAAUAACUCCCCGAAAGGGGUGCUAAUACCGGAUAAUGUCUUCGGACCAAAGAUUUAUCGCCUUUGGAUGGGCCCGCGUUGGAUUAGCUAGUUGGUAGGGUAAAAGCCUACCAAGGCGACGAUCCAUAGCUGGUCUGAGAGGAUGAUCAGCCACACUGGGACUGAGACACGGCCCAGACUCCUACGGGAGGCAGCAGUGGGGAAUAUUGGACAAUGGGCGAAAGCCUGAUCCAGCAAUGCCGCGUGAGUGAUGAAGGCCUUAGGGUUGUAAAGCUCUUUUACCCGGGAUGAUAAUGACAGUACCGGGAGAAUAAGCGCCGGCUAACUCCGUG